GACGGAGGGGGCAAGCUUGUUCGGAAUUAUUGGGCGUAAAGGGCUCGUAGGCGGACAGGUAAGUCUGGCGUGAAAUCUCCACCGCUCACCGGGGAGAGGUCGCUGGAAACUGCCUGUCUGGAGUACAGUAGAGGACCAUGGAAUUCCAGGCGUAGCGGUGGAAUGCGUAGAUAUCUGGAAGAACACCGGUGGCGAAGGCGGUGGUCUGGGCUGUUACUGACGCUGGAGGAGACGAAAGCCAGGGGAGCAAAGCAGG
rnacentral:rRNA from 1 species